ACUUGGCUGCAGAACCAUUUUCCUCUGGACACCUACUGACAUGCUGGAAUACACUUGGAAUUUGCAGUAGACAUCUAGCCUUGUCUCUCCACCACCCCAACCUCUGAUGACUCAGCCUGACACACCAUUAUCACCCCGUCUCAGCCUUCCAGUGUGUCUUCUCACUGUCUUCCUGGUUCUGGUUAUAUUAGCAUGGCAACUAAAAUAGAAC